AAUGGCUCAUUAAAUCAGUUAUCGUUUAUUUGAUAGUACCUACCAACUACUUGGAUAUCCGUGGUAAUUCUAGAGCUAAUACAUGCUAAAAACCCCGACUUCGGGAGGGGUGUAUUUAUUAGAUAAAAAACCAAUGCCCCUCGGGGCUCCUUGGUGAUUCAUGAUAACUUAACGGAUCGCAUGGCCUUGCGCCGGCGACGGUUCAUUCAAAUUUCUGCCCUAUCAACUUUCGAUGGUAAGGUAUUGGCUUACCAUGGUUUCAACGGGUAACGGGGAAUUAGGGUUCGAUUCCGGAGAGGGAGCCUGAGAAACGGCUACCACAUCCAAGGAAGGCAGCAGGCGCGCAAAUUACCCAAUCCCGACACGGGGAGGUAGUGACAAUAAAUACUGAUACAGGGCUCUUUUGGGUCUUGUAAUCGGAAUGAGUACAAUUUAAACCCCUUAACGAGGAACAAUUGGAGGGCAAGUCUGGUGGAAACUCAGCUCCCAUUCUGCUGACGCCAGAGAUAGUCGGGCACCGAGAGGUGCUACGCCGGCUAGUCGAGCACCCGCCGAUUGGUGGGAGGGUGCCGGCAAGACAACCUGGAUCGGGGGAGGCUAAGGCACCCAGGUGCUAAGCUAAUCCCGAGCAGAGCCCCCGCGGAGGGAUCCGCGGGCGGCCUGUGUAGAGCACGGUAAGGUGUCGGCCAGCUCAAGGAGCUGGCUUAAGGGACGUGCCAUUCCCGCCCGAAAGGGCGGCUGCCAGCCUCAGCGCCCACCACGCGAGGGCUGGCAGGUCCGGGGGCAUCGCGCCCCCCGGGCGCAGUAUCAAAAGGCCAGCAGCCGCGGUAAUUCCAGCUCCAAUAGCGUAUAUUAAAGUUGUUGCAGUUAAAAAGCUCGUAGUUGAACCUUGGGCCUGGCUGGCCGGUCCGCCUCACCGCGUGUACUGGUCCGGCCGGGCCUUUCCUUCUGGAGAGCCGCAUGCCCUUCACUGGGUGUGUCGGGGAACCAGGACUUUUACUUUGAAAAAAUUAGAGUGUUCAAAGCAGGCCUUUGCUCGAAUACGUUAGCAUGGAAUAAUAGAAUAGGACGUGCGGUCCUAUUUUGUUGGUUUCUAGGACCGCCGUAAUGAUUAAUAGGGAUAGUCGGGGGCAUCAGUAUUCAAUUGUCAGAGGUGAAAUUCUUGGAUUUAUUGAAGACUAACUACUGCGAAAGCAUUUGCCAAGGAUGUUUUCAUUAAUCAGUGAACGAAAGUUAGGGGAUCGAAGACGAUCAGAUACCGUCGUAGUCUUAACCGUAAACUAUGCCGACUAGGGAUCGGGCGAUGUUUCUAUCUUGACUCGCUCGGCACCU
rnacentral:rRNA from 2 species